GGCGGCGUGCUUAACACAUGCAAGUCGAACGAAGCUGUUAAAAGGAAGUCUUCGGAUGGAAUUUUAACAGACUUAGUGGCGGACGGGUGAGUAACGCGUGGAUAACCUGCCUUAUACAGGGGGAUAACGGAGAGAAAUUUCCGCUAAGACCGCAUAAGACCACAGCACCGCAUGGUGCAGGGGUAAAAUAUUAAUAGGUAUAAGAUGGAUCCGCGUCCGAUUAGCUGGUUGGUGAGGUAGAGGCUCACCAAGGCGACGAUCGGUAGCCGGCCUGAGAGGGUGAACGGCCACAUUGGGACUGAGACACGGCCCAAACUCCUACGGGAGGCAGCAGUGGGGAAUAUUGGACAAUGGGGGAAACCCUGAUCCAGCGACGCCGCGUGAGUGAAGAAGUAUUUCGGUAUGUAAAGCUCUAUCAGCAGGGAAGAAAAUGACGGUACCUGACUAGA
rnacentral:rRNA from 1 species